rnacentral:ncRNA from 1 species
GUGCUUUUGCCUUAAACAAAUUAGAGGCUCUCGAGCCUGGAUAAUGGUGCAUGGAAUAAUAGAAUAGGACCUCGGUUCUAUUUUGUUGGUUUUCGGAGCGCUAGGUAAUGAUUAAGAGGGACAGACGGGGGCAUUCGUACUGUGCCGUUAGAGGUGAAAUUCUUGGAUCGGCGCAAGACGAACGACUGCGAAAGCAUUUGACAAGAAUGUUUUCAAU